ensembl:snoRNA
CUGAGCUGAGGAUGGACAAAGUUAUCCCUGUCUGAAUCGGGUGUCGGUGAGGAAUUCUGUGGUGCUGAAGCUCGG